rnacentral:rRNA from 2 species
UGAGGAAUAUUGCGCAAUGGGCGAAAGCCUGACGCAGCGACGCCGCGUGGGGGAUGAAGGUCUUCGGAUUGUAAACCCCUUUCGGGAGGGAAGAUGGGACGGGCAACCGUUCGGACGGUACCUCCAGAAGCAGCCACGGCUAACUUCGUGCCAGCAGCCGCGGUAAUACGAAGGUGGCAAGCGUUGUUCGGAUUUACUGGGCGUACAGGGAGCGUAGGCGGUUUGGUAAGCCCUCCGGGAAAUCUUCGGGCUUAACCCGGAAAGGUCGGAGGGGACUGCCAGGCUAGAGGACGGGAGAGGAGCGCGGAAUUCCCGGUGUAGCGGUGAAAUGCGUAGAGAUCGGGAGGAAGGCCGGUGGCGAAGGCGGCGCUCUGGAACGUUCCUGACGCUGAGGCUCGAAAGCGUGGGGAGCAAACAGG